rnacentral:tRNA from 1 species
GCAUUAGUAGUUCAACGGGUAGAACACUUAAAUAAAGCUGAUUUAAGAGGUUGUUGGUUCGAACCCAACCUAAUGUC